rnacentral:rRNA from 1 species
CACGGGGGGAGCAAGCGUUGUUCGGAAUCACUGGGCGUAAAGGGCGUGUAGGCGGUCAAGUAAGUGGAAUGUGAAAGCCCCCGGCUUACCCGGGGAUCUGCAUCCCAAACUGCUUGGCUUGAGUACGGGAGAGGAUAGGGGAAUUCCUGGUGUAGCGGUGAAAUGCGGUAGAUAUCGGGAGGAACACCCGUAGCGAAGGCGGCCGACUGGACCACACCUGACGCUGAGGCGCGAAGGCCAGGG